AGAGUUUGAUCCUGGCUCAGAACGAACGCUGGCGGCGUGCCUAACACAUGCAAGUCGAGCGCGAAUGGGAGCAAUCCCUAGUAGAGCGGCGCACGGGUGCGUAACACGUGGGUAAUCUGCCUGGAAGACCGGGACAACCUUCCGAAAGGAAAGCUAAUACCGGAUAAGCCUACGGGAUCCUCGGAUCCUGAAGGAAAAGGUGGCCUCUGUAUACAAGCUAUCACUUCCAGAUGAGCCCGCGGCCCAUCAGCUAGUUGGCGGGGUAACGGCCCACCAAGGCAACGACGGGUAGCUGGUCUGAGAGGACGAUCAGCCACACUGGAACUGAGACACGGUCCAGACUCCUACGGGAGGCAGCAGUGGGGAAUUUUGCACAAUGGGCGAAAGCCUGAUGCAGCAACGCCGCGUGUGUGAUGAAGGUCUUCGGAUUGUAAAGCACUUUCGACCGGGACGAAACACCCUUGGAUAACAUCCAAGGGCCUGACGGUACCGGGAAAGAGCACCCU
rnacentral:rRNA from 1 species